AGAGUUUGAUUCUGGCUCAGAACGAACGCUGGCGGCAGGCCUAAGACAUGCAAGUCGUACGAGAAAGCCCUUUCGGGGGUGAGUAGAGUGGCGAACGGGUUAGUAACGCGUGGGAACAUACACAGCACAGGGGGAUAACCAUUGGAAACGAUGGCUAAUACCGCAUACGCCCUAUGGGGGAAAGAUUUAUCGGUGUUGGAUUGGCCCGCGUUAGAUUAGCUAGUUGGUGGGGUAAUGGCUUACCAAGGCGACGAUUUAUAGCUGGUUUGAGAGGAUGAUCAGCAACACUGGAACUGAGACACGGUCCAGACUCCUACGGGAGGCAGCAGUCGGGAAUAUUGUGCAAUGGGGGCAACCCUGACACAGCCAUGCCGCGUGAGUGAAGAAGGCCUUAGGGUUGUAAAGCUCUUUCAGAUGUGAGGAUGAUGACGAUAGCAUCACAAGAAGCUCCGGCUAACUUCGUGCCAGCAGCCGCGGUAAUACGAAGGGAGCAAGCGUUGUUCGGAAUUACUGGGCGUAAAGGGCGUGUAGGCGGAUUAUCAAGUUAGGGGUGAAAUCCCGGGGCUCAACCUCGGCACUGCCUUUAAGACUGAUAAUCUAGAGUAUGUGAGGGGAUAAUGGAAUACCUAGUGUAGAGGUGAAAUUCGUAGAUAUUAGGUGGAACACCAGUGGCGAAGGCGAUUAUCUGGCACAUUACUGACGCUGAGGCGCGAAAGCGUGGGGAGCAAACGGGAUUAGAUACCCCGGUAGUCCACGCCGUAAACGAUGUAUACUAGUUGUCGGGCAUUGGUUCGGUGACGCAGCUAACGCAUUAAGUAUACCGCCUGGGGAGUACGGUCGCAAGAUUAAAACUCAAAGAAAUUGACGGGGACCCGCACAAGCGGUGGAGCAUGUGGUUUAAUUCGAAGCAACGCGAAGAACCUUACCCACCUUUGACAUGGUAGUUUGGGGUAUUGGAGACAAUAUCUUUCAGUUCGGCUGGGCUACACACAGGUGCUGCAUGGCUGUCGUCAGCUCGUGUCGUGAGAUGUUGGGUUAAGUCCCGCAACGAGCGCAACCCU
rnacentral:rRNA from 1 species